rnacentral:misc_RNA from 1 species
GAUGAAGAACGUAGCGAAAUGCGAUAAGUAGUGUGAAUUGCAGAAUUCAGUGAAUCAUCGAAUCUUUGAACGCACAUUGCGCCCUUUGGUAUUCCAAAGGGCAUGCCUGUUCGAGCGUCAUUUGUACCCUCAAGCUUUGCUUGGUGUUGGGCGUCUUGUCUCUAGCUUUGCUGGAGACUCGCCUUAAAGUAAUUGGCAGCCGGCCUACUGGUUUCGGAGCGCAGCACAAGACGCACUCUCUAUCAGCAAAGGUCUAGCAUCCAUUAAGCCUUUUUUUCAACUUUUGACCUCGGAUCAGGUAGGGAUACCCGCUGAACUUAAGCAUAUCAAUAAGCGGAGGA